CGUGCGCCAAUGGGGACGCCGGCCGGGCGGGCCCCCGUGGCGCGGGAGGAGAUGGCGGUGCGGCGAUACCUGCAGGACCUCUUCCAGAACGUGCAGCUCCGCGACUCGGUCACCGUGGAGCGGCCGCUACCCGCGUCCCGGUCCCAGCCUGAGUCUCGCCUGCCGCCGACUGGGGACGCCGCGCUGUCGUGGCGGCCGAGACCGCUGCCGAAGGAGUGCGCCGUGUUCCAGUGCCGCGGCUGCCGGGCGGUGCUGGGGGACUCGCUGCAGCUCUGCGCGCAGGAGGAGCGAUGGCUCGGCCUUCUCGUCUGCUUCAGAGUCACGAACGAUGUGGUGUGGGAGGACGAGCUGCUGGUCGGCCUGGAGGGAGCCCUGCUGGGAUGCGCUUACAACGAGUUAUCCUGUCGGUUGUGUGGCAUGUCCGUGGGCUUUAUUCUUUGUUCUGCCUCCACUGACCUGGUGUAUCUCCGAGGCUUCUUCUGUUUCUUCAAGGAGAACAUCCUCUGUUAUCUCCUAAAAAAACAAAUGGUAAUAGAAGCUUCUAAGGUGUAUUUUCCUGCUGUGACCUUAAAGAAACAAGUGUUGGAAACUUCACCUAAGUAUUACUACUUGUGUUGUCCCUAGAACUGAUGAUUCAUGUUGAAGAAUUAUUUUUUUUAAAAAAAAAGGCAAUUUGUUAAUUUGAAUUGGAUUCUAACCCCGUUGUAUAUAUGGCUAUCUGAAAAGAAAGAUUGUGGACCUCAACAUUCGCCUAGAAUUGCUGAUGAAGAAGUUGAAGGAACUAGAACAAAAUAAAGUGGCAGAACGGUAAAGCUCUGCAUCAGUUGCAGUUGACCUACUGCCAGGAUAGUCGAGGUCAACUAAUAUACCAUUUUCAAGAACUGCCGGAGUUGUUUCUGCAUCGCUGUUGAGUGAGUUCAUUAUGGUGAAAUAAUGCACCAGAACAAGUUUGAGUGUUGAUCUGUCACUUUAUCUACUUACGGAAAGAACCGAUGCUUAAUUGCAUCCCUUCAGUCUAAGGGGAACACCUGAAAAUCUGACAUACUGAACUUAUGCUUGGAAAAAUCAAUAGCUCACCCAUGCAGCAUAUCGCUCUCUGAGACAGUAUAACCGUGGCUUUGAUUCUCUCUAAUGACUUCAGGGGGAAAACAGCCUUUGAAAUACUGAAGUCCAGCUUCUGGAACUAUACAAAACAUACCAAGAUGAUGAUAUUCGAGAGGAGCUAUUAUAAAUGGGAAGUUCUUGUCCUACCUUUCAAUAUAGAUACACUGUUAAUGGCACUCGUUAGCCACACCUGGUAUGUGAGGCACUGCUGAAUGGCUGCCUGAUUGCUGCUUUUAGGUUUGCUUGUGUGUGUGGCCUGCAAACGGAGCAAGCUAGCACAGUGUGUGUAGUGCGUGAAUCUGGAUGGCACGACGCGAGCUGGAGCACAAGGGUUUCGAUUUCAAAUUCAAGGGCAACCCUUGAACGUACAUGUGCCCGCCAAGUCCUCUGCAAGUGCGGCCCCAUGGCUGCCCAGGACCGAGCCAUGUUCUGGCAGCUCCGUGAAGCUGAGGCUGUGAACAACUGCCUUUAACAGAUCCGAGCCUUCCUUGCUAGGGCUGAAGCUGUGAAACCAAGGAAUAGUCGUUUCUUCUUCACUUCUGCUCUGUCAUGGGAACAUUGCUCUGCUGAAGUCGUGAUGAUCUGCCUGCUGCCUUCACUUGGCCAGUCAAGAUGUUUCAUAAAAAAUACCUAAUGGGUGCUCGCUGGCGUUUCUCUGUGUUGAACGGGUUCCAAACAUCUAGGAAGUAAUUUGAUGGAAAAGAAAGAACAUUACUUACCCCUUGUUCUUGGGACAGAGUAUCUCAGAUUCUUGUGAGCUGGGAAAUUAAGGGUCCUUUACUCUCCUUUUUGCUGCCUGAACGGUUGUUUUAAACCUUCCAUAAAGUUUAGCAGUUGUCUGUGGUAGUCUAGGGGGGGAUUGUAUUUACCUGAUCAACUUAAUUCCAGUGAGGCAAUUUGCUAUUCCCUUACUUCUACUUCCGUAUAGGAUUGGCUGGUUGCAUGCCCCAUUGCUGCUGAUGCCAGUACUCCCUCUAUUUCAUGGUCUUAAUUGUUUUAUUUGUAAAAAACCUCUUGUAACGGGCUUGGAGUAGAGGUGACAGAACUCACAGCAAGGGACCUCAGAGGCUUUAGGUGGGCAGCUGGUGCUUGCAGUACUACUACUGACUGGUCACCACGCUGCCUCUUGAUCCAAGAGUUCCAGGUUGUCUGUCUGUUCUGAUGGAGCGGUAACAUAGAGUGUCAGCAGCCAUUCUGCAGGGAGAGGGAGGGGAUCUUUCAAAUUCUAAUACUAUAUGCUAUCUGAAUUAAUGUUUUACGAGUUUGAAGAGUGUAAGUGCAAAAAUACAGUGCUUUCCCAUGACAGCUAAAUUCAGGGUAUGAAAAGUAACUACCUGAAGUAAAUGUUACAUUCCUGAAGAUCAGUUUCAUUGCCUGUAACGAUAAAUGUUAUUUCCUCUAAAAUGAGCUCUAUCCCAAACCCUUAACGGCAAGGUUGUUCUUAACAGUUUUCACUGUAUAUGCAUGUAAAGUUCAGACUUGCUGUUAUUUGAUUAUUUCAUUAUUAAGAAGGAAGUUUUUAAGGUGGUGUGGUGCAAUGACUUUUGCAUUAUGUUUAAGGGGCUGUUGGUCAUUAACUGGGGUCUUGUGACUUAAGUUCAUUUUGUGCAAACAUCUCCCCUUCUCUGCUGAAUUUUUUCCAUUGUAUAAAUUCACUUUGUGUUGCUUUUAGAGCUCUUUUGUUGUCACAUCAGUCUAAGAAACGUGAUUGAUAACAGCACUUACUCACUUUUGCCCUUUUAUUCUAGUUUCUGCACUGAGGCUGUUUCUUGCUGUACAUAUACUUUUCAUCUAUACCAUGUAUAAUAGUGCUAAAUUGGUUUACUCCAUUUAGCCAUGUGUCCACCCCUAAAAGAUAUGUCAGUUAUGAAGUUUUUUAUAUUAUUUUUCAGCUGUAAAUAAACUUUUUAAACAAAUUUGUAAAAAGCUGAAAUUCAGAAAUGCGUAUUGUGCAGAUUGCUGAUAGCAUCAUGUGAGUCCUAAGUCCACUUCUUUUCUGUAGAUUUUGCUGAAAAAGACCCAUUGGUUUCUCGUGCUUGGGUCCUGGUUCAUUAUGCAGCAUUAAAUUAGCGGUUCCUUGAAUAUAUUACUUAGCAUGAAUUUAAACAAAUAAAGAGUAUGUGCUAAAUAACAGAGGGCAAAUUUGUAAAUGACAUUUCUUGAAUCUUUGGAAUGGGGGACCUGUGCUCUGUUAAGCUAUGGUCCUUCGUGUCUAUUUGCCAAAUCACAUGUUUUCUUGGUGCUGCUGCCUGGUGUAGCUGCUGACGCUCAAAGCAGCGCAGUGUUCUGUCCAAGUUCCGUUUUAAGAAGCAAGCCACAUAAAAUAAGUGCAUUACCUUGAGUAA